rnacentral:rRNA from 1 species
GGUUAAGCGACUAAGCGUACACGGUGGAUGCCCUGGCAGUCAGAGGCGAUGAAGGACGUGCUAAUCUGCGAUAAGCGUCGGUAAGGUGAUAUGAACCGUUAUAACCGGCGAUUUCCGAAUGGGGAAACCCAGUGUGAUUCGUCACACUAUCAUUAACUGAAUCCAUAGGUUAAUGAGGCGAACCGGGGGAACUGAAACAUCUAAGUACCCCGAGGAAAAGAAAUCAACCGAGAUUCCCCCAGUAGCGGCGAGCGAACGGGGAGGAGCCCAGAGCCUGAAUCAGUGUGUGUGUUAGUGGAAGCGUCUGGAAAGGCGCGCGAUACAGGGUGACAGCCCCGUACACAAAAAUGCACAUACUGUGAGCUCGAUGAGUAGGGCGGGACACGUGGUAUC